UAUUUUUUAGUAUAUGGUGUACAAAAGUUUUUGAUACUUUAAGGGAUAGUUUAAUUCUAUCAAAUAUAA
rnacentral:tRNA from 1 species